AGUGAACGCUGGCGGCAGGCCUAACACAUGCAAGUCGAACGGCAGCACAGUAAGAGCUUGCUCUUAUGGGUGGCGAGUGGCGGACGGGUGAGGAAUACAUCGGAAUCUACUUUUUCGUGGGGGUUAACGUAGGGAAACUUACGCUAAUACCGCAUACGACCUACGGGUGAAAGCAGGGGAUCUUCGGACCUUGCGCGAUUAAAUGAGCCGAUGUCGGAUUAGCUAGUUGGCGGGGUAAAGGCCCACCAAGGCGACGAUCCGUAGCUGGUCUGAGAGGAUGAUCAGCCACACUGGAACUGAGACACGGUCCAGACUCCUACGGGAGGCAGCAGUGGGGAAUAUUGGACAAUGGGCGCAAGCCUGGUCCAGCCAUGCCGCGUGGGUGAAGAAGGCCUUCGGGUUGUAAAGCCCUUUUGUUGGGAAAGAAAAGCGCGGGGCUAAUACCCUUGUGUUCUGACGGUACCCAAAGAAUAAGCACCGGCUAACUUCGUGCCAGCAGCCGCAGUAAGAC
rnacentral:rRNA from 1 species